CUUCCCGAGCAAAUAAAUUAAUUUUGCUAUUUUUGUUCCCACUCCCCUAGUUUUGUGCCGCCCAACCUAGCUAAACCCUAGGUAUAUAUGUUAUUUCUAUCAUUUUUUCUAUCUUUCCUCUGUUAUUGACGUCCCUCUCAUCUCUCUCUCAUUCUUCUAAUUUUGUUUCUUUUUCCCCUUGUGCCAUCCCAAACACAGUGAAAUUCACCAUUGUUGUGCCGCUUCUUUGUCUAUUAUUUUUCUACCAUUUUUCCAGCUGUAUUUUUGUCAUUUUUAAUCCCUAAAUCAGCCUCCCUUUACUGUCCAUUGCCGUCCCUCUCCUCCAUUUGUCGUGGUACCAAUUAGUUUCAUUUUUCCUUCUCUUUUCUUUUCCUUUGCUUGUCAAUUUUUCUGUUGUUUUCACAACCACUUUACUGAUAUUUCCAGCCCUAAAAACCAUCCCCUCUGCUGCCCAAAGAUCUCUCUUUGUGCCGCCUAAGUUAGCCUCUUUUUCUGUUGUUGUUUGUGGUGUUUUUUCCCUUAGAACACCUAUGGUUUGGGCUGCUAUUUUCUCUUCAUUUGUCACCCCUUACUACAAUGUGUUCUUUGAUUUUUCUUUAUUUAAAAUAGCCUUUAAUGUUCCAAAUAAAUAAGGUAUCCGAACACGUUCAUUCGACAUCUCUGAUCUGGUUAUCGGGUAGUGUAAGUGCGGAUUUAUGCAAGAUCUUGUGUCAUUUGAUUUCGUUAAUGGUUACUAUUUUGGCCGAAUGCUCAAGGCAUUAGGUUAAAUUUUACUUAUUGAUUUUUGUGUGUUAUUUCCAAGUUAGGAAUUGAUUUUGAUGUCCCAGAUCAGCAGUGAAGUCGAAUUUCAUUUGCACCCUCAUUUCGCAUCAAAUCAAUGCAAGUUAUCUUGUCGAAUUGAUCUAAGAAAUUGUUAGUGUAGCACUGAUUUGGCCGAACCCUUAAAGGGUGUUUCAAGGCUGGUUUUAACCUUAGUUUAAUAUGUUAAGUGCUCUAAUUUGGAUUUAGGCUCAUCUAAGGCUUAGGUGUGGAAGCGCGAACUUUACGGAUUAGUGUUGUGGACUUGCUAAUUAAGGUGUGGAUUUUUCCCUUUGCUAAAUUAGUCUAAAAACCUAAUACGUGUUUAAAUGGUAAAUUUACUUGCUGGUUUUGACAUGGUUGAAUGGCCUAAGUGCUACUAGACGAGGUGCUAAGCGAGGUACGUAUUUAAAUAGAUAGCACGAUUGUUAAGGGCCUUAUUGGAACAGAAUGAAUUGUGUAUGAGAUGUAUGUGAUGUAUGAUUUUGAGUUGUAAUUGGUUGACUGUACAUUGGUGUCAAAUCUUUGAUUGCUAAGUCCUAAUGAAAAUGUAUGUACUGUAUGCAUGUAUAGCAUGCUGAAUCUUUAAACACUAAUUGAUAUACAUGUAAUAUGCCAUUAAUGACAUUGAGCUUGUAUGUAUUUAAAUUACAUACCAUAUGUGAAAAUGACUGUAUGAAAAGCAUGUAUGCAUGCCACUAUUACUGUUAAAUGAAAAGUAUGCAAAGCAAAGCAUACACUAAUUAUGUUUACUGAAACACAUGUUAAGCAUGUUGUAAUACUGAAACUGUAAUGUUAAGCAUGAUCUGCUCAUUGAUUGUAUGACAUAUUGCAUUUGUAUGGUGUGGGUAUUUGUGGUUGACAGAGGAGUUUUGGGGAGUACCGGUGGCAUUUAAAGUCUGCGUAUUGAGUCAGUAUACUGCACUUAGAGUACCGAGGAGAUUGGGCGAUUUAAUUACAUUACUAGCAGCUUGUCUACAUCGUUAUUGACAGUUUAUCUGCAUUACUAAAAUUGGUGGCUUGUCCGCAUUACUAGAAUCUUUUCCGCACCAUUACUGGCAUUUUAAUUGCAUUACUGAUAUUGAUGGUUUAUCCACAUCGAGAUUUUGCUCGCACUGUUUGGAUUUCGGUAGACGGAUUCUGGGAAAUUUGUGGUGCAUCUUGUUGGACAAACGGGUUUGAAAAAUGCAAUGGGAAAUAAAUUUAGGAUUAGCGUUUCGACCGAGUAGUCUUCUCCGCUAUCCUCAAGCUCAUGUCUGUCGAGUAUGGGCUCGCUUCGAAUCAGAAAAUUUUUCACAAAAUUACUAGUGGGGUAAUUUUACAAUUUCUCUAAACUUCAGGGUUAAGUUGUAAAUUAAAAAAAUAUUUUUAAAAAUUUUCUAGAAUAAUCUCUUUCGAGAA